GCCUUGGUGGCACAAUGGUUAAGUGUUUGGCUGCUAACCAAGAGGUUGACGGUUCGAACCCUCCCAGCGGCU
rnacentral:tRNA from 1 species